rnacentral:lncRNA from 1 species
CAGUACAGUGUAUUUUGACAUAGCAUGCAUACAUGGAACAUAAUUUAUUCUAAUUAGGAUCCCAUUCUUGUGGUUGUACACUAUGUGGAGUUUCACUGGUUGUGUAUUCACAUACGAACAUAGGAAAGUUAGGUCCAAUUCAUUCUACUGUCUUUCCUAUGUCAUUUCUUUAGAGAAAUUCUUUCAGUCAGUAACUGGAGUUUUUCCAUGCCUUUAAGCAGCUACAACUAUGAAUGUGUUAGAAGGAGGGAAUGCAUAACUAUGUUUUUGAGAUAAGAUUUCCCCUAGGGAUUUACAACAUUUAGGAUGAAGUAGCUGUUUAUUUUCUAGAAAGUGAAACUUGGGGAAACUUAGAAAAAUUUGUAGCCUUAGGCUUGUGAUAUUAGAUGACAUUUUAGAUUGGAGCUGAGAACUUAUUCCAAGUGUGUCUUUCAGAUUCAACUUUGGUAUUCAAUCUAUAAACCCCUGCUGAGAUAUGCAGUUUUCGGCCUAUCCUAUGUGCAUUUGAGGCUUUGUUGUUGUGUAAGAAUAGAAAUAAUGAUUUGGAGUCACAAAUUUAAAAAGAAAUGAGCACAGUCUGUUGUUAACUACUUGCAUUCAUAAGAAAUUAUCACUAUAAAUAACCAAAAGCAGAAAGAAACUAGAUACUCCAAUUUCCUUUCCAGCCAAGCAGAAAAAAAAAAAAAGUCCUGAAAAUUGCAAUGUACUCUGUUUACAUCUAACUAUUGUUCUCUUUGAACGGUAAAGAUCUUUCAGGAAGAAAAGGGCUUGAGACAGAAAGAUCCACAUGAAAGGCUGCUUCAUGAAGGGGAGGGACUCUUCAAAGAGGGGCACUUAGCAAAUUGGUGCUGAUGGUUCUCUGGGGAAAUACAAGGGUAAAGCAUCAAUGGAAUACAUCUUUUUUUUUUUUUUUUUUAAAUAUUUAUUUAUUUUUUUAGUUCUCGGUAGACACAACAUCUUUGUUUGUAUGUGGUGCUGAGGAUCGAACCCGGGCCGCACGCAUGACAGGUGAGCGCGCUACCGCUUGAGCCACAUCCCCAGCCCCUGGAAUACAUCUUGAGCUCUGGAGAAUCAGGUACCAAAGGCUGGUAUUUCCAGGUAUGAACAAUUUUAUUUUUGGGAGACAAGGUUUUUUUUUCAGAUAAAGAAGGUAGCCUAAAAAUUCUGGACAACAAAGAAACAUUCCUUCCCUAAUCUCUUUGUCACCUUGGGGUUUCAACCCGAGCAAAAAGAUAUUAAGUGGGGAAUGGCAAAAAAAAAAAAACCCUGAAACUGUAUCAUUGAACACUGGGUAAUUCCUCUGUCAAGCAUUUUGAGAGGGUCAAAGAUGUUGUGCGGGGAUGUAAGUAAUGAAAGAAACACUGGACUGGAUGUCAUGGCACUCUUGUGUUUUAGCUUCAGCUGUUUCUUGCUCAAAAUAUUUAUUUACUAGUUACAAAAUAAGAGAGUUACAAUGAAUAUUGCACUAAAGCUCCUUUUGGCUUUAAAGAUUCAAGAGCAGGAUGAUUUUCACUUAAAUGUUAAGUUAUUUGGGGGGGAUGCUGGCAUGUAUUUUAUUACCUAGUGUUCACUUUUCAGGGUUUGUAGCUAGGGAAUCAGGGAAACCUGCAUUCUCACUGCUCAGCUAUUCUUAGGAAUACUGAGUUUGGGGAACUACUAUUUUAUUCCAGGGGCCAGGAAUCAGUUGUUGGAGUAGACAGAGGAUAAGGAUAAAUGCUCAAGCUUAGAGAAGGACUGAAAGGCUUUCUCAGUGGACUGAUUGUCAACUUGCAACUCAGUUGACUGUUCUUGCUUCUCAGGAUCGUUCUGGAAACAUUCACAGUGUUUAAAUACCAAUAAGUUAAUAUAAGAGGUCCUCUUCAGGUAAACCAGGCAAACUGGAACUGAAAAUGAUCAGAUUAGGAAAAUGACUGCUGGAAUACUUAAGUAAGGAAAGAAAAGUGAUCUGAUGAGAUAUUGAUGGGGGAUACACUUAACUCAGGGUCUCCGAACACUCAGCCAAGUUCAAAUGUUAAGAAGCACAGGCUGAAGUAAGGCUGAAUCAGUAUCAGAAGUAAGUUCAGGUCUCUUCAUAUUCUGGGGAAAGGCUUUCAUUUCUCCAAAUUAGAAUGGAGCCCAAGAGCUAAAGCUGCCUGUAAAACCAGAAGGAAGACAAGGUAUCUCAGCAGCCUUGAUCUAUGUAAGGAAGAAUAUGGAAUAUUUACCAACUGGACUAAGAUAUCUUUUUUUUUUUUUUU